rnacentral:tRNA from 1 species
GGAGGGGUAGCAUAGUCUGGCCUAAUGCGCGCGUCUCGAAAACGCGUGUGGGUAACUCCCACCGUGGGUUCGAAUCCCACCCCCUCCGCCA